rnacentral:misc_RNA from 1 species
GAUGAAGAACGUAGCAAAAUGCGAUAAGUAAUGUGAAUUGCAGAAUUCAGUGAAUCAUCGAAUCUUUGAACGCACAUUGCGCCCGCCAGUAUUCUGGCGGGCAUGCCUGUUCGAGCGUCAUUUCAACCCUCAAGCACAGCUUGGUGUUGGGACUCGCGUUAAUUCGCGUUCCCCAAAUUGAUUGGCGGUCACGUCGAGCUUCCAUAGCGUAGUAGUAAAACCCUCGUUACUGGUAAUCGUCGCGGCCACGCCGUUAAACCCCAACUUCUGAAUGUUGACCUCGGAUCAGGUAGGAAUACCCGCUGAACUUAAGCAUAUCAAUAAGCGGAGGAU